rnacentral:RNase_P_RNA from 1 species
CCCGCGUGGUGAGGCGGCCGCGGCGGAAGGAAACUUCCGACGAGGAACGUCCGAGCACGGCAGGACACGGUGGUGGGUAACGCCCACCCGCCUUGGGCCUUGCCGGUCAUCGAGAGGUGGCCGUCGAGCGACGGGGCGAGGGACAGUGCCACAGAGAAGAGACCGCCGAUGGCCCGCGAUUCGUCGCGGGAUCAGGCAAGGGUGAAACGGUGGAGUAAGAGCCCACCGCUCUCGCGGCGACGCGAGGGGCACGGCAAACCCCACCGCGUGCAAGGCCAAGCAGUUUCCUCCGGGGUGCACUCGAGAGAGCCACCUUUGGGCGCUCGUCCGGCGUGAUCGCAAGAUCGGGGAACGGGUCGGCUGCUCCUGAUCCCGUCGGCAACGCCGGGGCGAGAGAAAUGGCCGCCACCGGUCGUGUGAAAGCGAUCGGGACAGAACUCGGCGUACGGCCACGCGUCGUCU